UAAGGAAUAUUGGACAAUGGGGGCAACCCUGAUCCAGCCAUGCCGCGUGAAGGAUGAAGGCCCUAUGGGUCGUAAACUUCUUUUACAGGGGACAAAUAUCUUGCUCGUGAGCAGGAUUGAUGGUACUCUGAGAAUAAGGGUCGGCUAACUUCGUGCCAGCAGCCGCGGUAAUACGAAGGACCCGAGCGUUAUCCGGAUUUAUUGGGUUUAAAGGGUGCGUAGGCGGAUUUACAAGUCAGUGGUGAAAUCUCCCAGCUCAACUGGGAAACUGCCAUUGAAACUGUUUAUCUUGAGUACAUUUGAGGCGGGCGGAAUGUGUCAUGUAGAGGUGAAAUUCUUAGAUAUGACACAGAACACCAAUUGCGAAGGCAGCUCGCUAAACUGUAACUGACGCUGAGGCACGAAAGCGUGGGGAUCAAACAG
rnacentral:rRNA from 1 species